UGAGGAACAUGACCUUCGGCGGGGGAUAGCCGGCCCAACGGCCGGGUAAUACCGCGUACGACCUUUUGGGGACAUCCCCGAUUGGUGAAAGCAGCAAUGCGCCGAAAGAGUGCCUCGCGGCCUAUCAGCUAGUUGGUGGGGUAAUGGCUCACCAAGGCGACGACGGGUAGCUGGUCUGAGAGGAUGGCCAGCCACAUUGGGACUGAGACACGGCCCAGACUCCUACGGGAGGCAGCAGG
rnacentral:rRNA from 1 species